GUAGUAUUCCCUCCGUCCCAAAAUUCUUGUCUUACAUUUGUUUAGAUAUGGAUGUAUCUAACACUAAAAUGUAACUAGAUACAUCCGUAUUUAGGAAAAUUUAAGACAAGAAUUUUGGGAUGGAGGGAGUACAAA
rfam:Triticum aestivum genome assembly, contig: Triticum_aestivum_CS42_TGACv1_scaffold_320941_4BL